ensembl:lncRNA
GCUCUUGGCUGGCUCCUGCGGUGCUGCCUGUCACCCUCUGCCUAACGUCCACCAUGGGAGGUAGCCCCAGGGAAGGGUGGUGUAGGGCCAUGGCAACUCAGCCUGACUUCUUGCCCCUCGCGCCGCUCAGCUUUGGAUCCAUCGCUGCCCACUCACCUGCUCCCUGUACUGGAAGCGGAGCAGCACAAAUCUCCCAGGAACGCAGGGACAUCAGUAGCAGGAGGAGGACAAGGCGGGCAGGGGCCGUGGCCCCCCACACUCGUGCCAUGCUGCCACCACCACCGCUGCAGCCACAGCAAGUGCUGCCGUUGGGUCAGGCGCCGAGCAAUGCCUGUGCCAUGGGACAGCAUCACAGCUGGGCCUUGUGACAUCACAGCUCUGCACAGCCAUGUAGCGGGGCAUUGUGACCUCACGGCCCCGUGAAGCCGGGUGGAGGCUGCCCGUGAGCCGCUCCUCUUGUGAUGCACUGCACCAGGGCUGGUGGGGCCAGUGCUUACAUCAUAGAAACAUAGAAUCAUGGAAUGGCUUGGGUAGGAAGAGACAUUAAAGAACUUUUACCUCCAACUGCGCUGCUGUGGGCAGGGAUACCGCCCACUGAGUCAGCCUGCCCAGGGCUCCAUCCAGCCUGGCCUUGAACGCUUCCAGAGACCGGGGCAUCCACAACUUCGCUUGGCAAACUUUUAUAGUGCCUCGACAACCCCGAGAGGGAAUUAUUUCCAGCUCGAUGUGCCAAUGACAAUGUCUCACUCCAAUUUAUAGGAGAGGGAGGAGGUUCUUUUCAUAUAUGUAUACCUGACAGUGAGAUUAAGCUACAACAGGUCAAAUGUUAGCCUGACCAGUUUAUUACAAAUCCUUUGUCUUUAGAGAGAUGGGGAGGGGAAGGUGGGCAAUAGAAAAGAGAUAUAAAAGCAAGGAGUCUUUGUAGUGCGCGAGAGAGAUGAUCACCACUGCGGGUCCGAUGAGGUUCAUAGUGCGCCCGUUGAUCUCAAGAAUUUGUCCUAUCACUGCAGGGGAUGGGAGAAAGCCAGGGAGCUUUGCAGCCAGCAGGCUCUGGGGGGGUCUUUUGAAAGAGGGUUUUCCCCUCAGGGAAUUCCUCUGUAAAGGUUUAUUUGGAGUUCUUCUCCAAAGUCCUUAUUUUGGUGAGGGCCUUUUAUCUCCCAUUUCUCAGUUUUUUUUCUUCUUUUCUCUCUGUCAGUGUGACACACCCUGCCCAACAGAGAAGCCAGCAGGGAGUGGUGCCUUUGUUGCCAUGCGUAGCAUUACUGCCUAUUGCAGUGGUCAGCUCCUUCAAGCUGCCCCCCCAAAAGGACUGCUUGUCCACUUCUGCUUCUUUACACUCAUGAGCAGCAGUACUGUGGCAGAGUGACACCCAGCACUCGCCCCCCUAGAAUUAGCAGCUGUUAGUUAGUCCUAUCACUGAAAAGGUCUCAUGAAGCAAGCUGUGAGACAAAAAGAAAUACAGUUUUGUCUUUCACAACACCUGGUGGCACAAAGGUUGCUUGAAAUUGAUGUGUAUAUGACCAUCUAUGAUGGUGAGGAAAGAAAAAAAAGAAGCAAGCAUAAAGGAAAGAAGGGUGGGGGCUGAGGGGGGUUUAAAUGUUACACAAUCACACAAUUGCUACAAAGGAUUUCUUGAGCUUGGUUACAAAUGUUGGCCUGGUCUGUUGGACAUGUCCAUUAUCAGUUGAAGUGGUUACACAGUACAUAGAAGAAACAACACGUUGCGUAAGCUGCCAUUAUCAUCAAUCUUUGGGCAACAAUUGGAGUUAUUCAGUUUGCCGCAGACACCUCCCGGUGACUCUCCAGGAGUGAAGAAAUGAGUGUGGUAUAACAAAUAGAAAGGGGAAAGUGAAAAGAGACACAAGAAAGUAGUUGAAUAAUCAUAUAAUUAACAAUACCAACUAAUAAAAAAAUAAUAGAAAUAAGAAUAUUUAAAAAAAGAAUAGAGGUCCAAUUUGACAAUACACUUGCCAGAUAAUGUUUUCAAAGAUGAUUUGGUGUUUUGCCAGGACCGUAGAUGGAGCCCAUAUGUUUUCUAAUAUCACAGAGAUUAUUUGUCCCAUGGAUAUUGUGUGCAGGAUGCCCCACAAUAUAAACCAUAAGAGGGGUAAUCCUAUUAUAUGGGACACAUACACAUCUCUUAUCAAAACUCAGUUACUUUCCAACAACCAUGUUUUGGAUAGAACUCCUGCACUGGUGUUAACUCUGGCACUGGAAAAAAAAAAAAAAACAUCAGUAACAUCAUAUUGCAAAGGGCUUUAUGAUGGGUUUCUUCCGUGACCACAUUUAACAGAUAUUAGACGGGGCCUUUGGUUCAUUUCCCAGUUUGUUAGGAAGCUGGAAACACCAUGGAGGAGUUACAUGCAAAUCAUAUUCAGUUUGAUAAAAAGGGGUGAAAGAAGGGGUCAAAAGGUGUGGGAAUAAAAGAAAGACAAUUCAGAGCAGCAGCUGUGAAGCAAGAUACACAGCUGAGAAAGCAAGGCUGAGAUAGCAAGGCUGAGAACCAAGGACAUCUCUAGAAGAGAAAAACAAAAGAAAUGGCCCAUGGCUCUGAUUGAAUAAGUGCCUGCAUGCACAGCUAUGGAGUGUUUGUGGGAUACUUUGUUGACAUGUAAAUGUGCAUGGGAAAGUUGUAAGGGCAGAUGGGAAAGCUAAGAAAGGAAAACUUGUGAAUGUAUGUAAGUGAUGUGAGAACCUGCAAUAAAUGAUUUGGAUUGUUCACAUUUGAGUCUGUGCCUCAUUGCCACAAAUGGCACCCAAACAGGGACUCUGUAUCAGGGUCAGCCUCAGGAGAUAAUCAGC